AUCGAACAAGGAGCAGGAAAGAGGGUGAAAAACCCUAAACUCAAGAAAUCAAGAAAUUGAAGCUUAAAUCACAAGAAAAUUCGAUGCAUGAGCCCCUUUUUGCGAAAAUCUAACCCUAAUUAGUGAAGUGGCGUAAAAGAAGAAGGUACAAGCACUAAGAAAGCGGAAGGAGCACAAGAUCGAGGUAAAACUCCGCUAUAGGCGAUUUGGGGACAUGGAGCGAGCACGUGAUCAAACCUUAUUAUACCAAGCGCUUCCGCUAGUUUAUAUGCAUGUUUUUUGGGUCCAUGUCUUGUUACUUUGUUAAAUCUUGUUAAAAGUCUUAUACUUGAAAACUUGUUGUUUUUAUUUGGGGUAGUUUAAUGUCGAAAAGGGUCGUAUGUG